AGCCACCGCUUUAGCUCUGUUAGUUUCCAUAGCAGCCAUCUCUGCUUUCUCAGAAGUAGCGUCAAUUUGAGAUUCGAAGGACGAAUAAAGGCGAGCGAAGGCAUCGCCGGGGGAAUCAUUAGCUGAAUGCUUCUCGACAUCGUACUUUUCGUACUUCUUACAUAUCGUAUCGACUCUGAGGAUAAUGUCGAUAACGCUCAUUUUCGGUGCCGGUUAACUUAUUUUUCCGGUGACGGAGGAUUUCGGAGAAGUAGAAAAUGAUGGCGGACGGGAAAAAGGGAGGAGAGAGAAACUUAGAUAUACUUCUUCCUCUAUUUGUCACAUCGAACUCUUCCA
rnacentral:misc_RNA from 1 species